rnacentral:rRNA from 1 species
UUGAACGCUGGCGGCAGGCCUAACACAUGCAAGUCGAGCAGCAGCACGGGUACUUGUACCUGGUGGCGAGCGGCGGACGGGUGAGUAAUGCCUAGGAAUCUGCCUGGUAGUGGGGGAUAACGCUCGGAAACGGACGCUAAUACCGCAUACGUCCUACGGGAGAAGGCAGGGGACCUUCGGGCCUUGCGCUAUCAGAUGAGCCUAGGUCGGAUUAGCUAGUUGGUGAGGUAAUGGCUCACCAAGGCGACGAUCCGUAACUGGUCUGAGAGGAUGAUCAGUCACACUGGAACUGAGACACGGUCCAGACUCCUACGGGAGGCAGCAGUGGGGAAUAUUGGACAAUGGGCGAAAGCCUGAUCCAGCCAUGCCGCGUGUGUGAAGAAGGUCUUCGGAUUGUAAAGCACUUUAAGUUGGGAGGAAGGGUUGUAGAUUAAUACUCUGCAAUUUUGACGUUACCGACAGAAUAAGCACCGGCUAACUCUGUGCCAGCAGCCGCGGUAAUACAGAGGGUGCAAGCGUUAAUCGGAAUUACUGGGCGUAAAGCGCGCGUAGGUGGUUUGUUAAGUUGGAUGUGAAAGCCCCGGGCUCAACCUGGGAACUGCAUUCAAAACUGACAAGCUAGAGUAUGGUAGAGGGUGGUGGAAUUUCCUGUGUAGCGGUGAAAUGCGUAGAUAUAGGAAGGAACACCAGUGGCGAAGGCGACCACCUGGACUGAUACUGACACUGAGGUGCGAAAGCGUGGGGAGCAAACAGGAUUAGAUACCCUGGUAGUCCACGCCGUAAACGAUGUCAACUAGCCGUUGGGAGCCUUGAGCUCUUAGUGGCGCAGCUAACGCAAUUAAGUUGACCGCCUGGGGAGUACGGCCGCAAGGUUAAAACUCAAAUGAAUUGACGGGGGCCCGCACAAGCGGUGGAGCAUGUGGUUUUAAUUCGAGGCAACGCGAAGAACCUUACCAGGCCUUGACAUCCAAUGAACUUUCCAGAGAUGGAUUGGUGCCUUCGGGAACAUUGAGACAGGUGCUGCAUGGCUGUCGUCAGCUCGUGUCGUGAGAUGUUGGGUUAAGUCCCGUAAACGAGCGCAACCCUUGUCCUUAGUUACCAGCACGUUAUGGUGGGCACUCUAAGGAGACUGCCGGUGACAAACCGGAGGAAGGUGGGGAUGGCGUCAAGUCAUCAUGGCCCUUACGGCCUGGGCACACACGUGCUACAAUGGUCGGUACAGAGGGUUGCCAAGCCGCGAGGUGGAGCUAAUCCCAUAAAACCGAUCGUAGUCCGGAUCGCAGUCUGCAACUCGACUGCGUGAAGUCGGAAUCGCUAGUAAUCGCGAAUCAGAAUGUCGCGGUGAAUACGUUCCCGGGCCUUGUACACACCGCCACGUCACACCAUGGGAGUGGGUUGCACCAGAAGUAGCUAGUCUAACCUUCGGGGGGACGGUUACCACGGUGUGAUUCAUGACUGGGGUG